CAUGUAUUCCCUCCGUCCGGAAAUACUUGUCAUCAAAAUGGAUGAAAAUGGAUGUAUCUAGAACUAAAAUACGUGUAGAUACAUCCAUUUCAAUGACAAGUAUUUCCGGACGGAGGGAGUACCAA
rnacentral:pre_miRNA from 1 species